AGAGUUUGAUCCUGGCUCAGAACGAACGCUGGCGGCGUGCUUAAGACAUGCAAGUCGUGCGGGACUGGGGCUUGCUCCAGUUCAGCGGCGCACGGGUGAGUAACACGUGGGUAAUCUACCUCCAGGCUCGGGAUAACCUCGGGAAACUGGGGCUAAUACCGGAUGAGACUUCGAGAUCCUCGGAUCUUGCGGAAAAACGAUGGCCUCUUCUUGAAAGCUAUCGCCAGGAGAUGAGCCCGCGUCCCAUUAGCUAGUUGGCGGGGUAACGGCCCACCAAGGCGACGAUGGGUAGCUGGUCUGAGAGGACGAUCAGCCACACUGGAACUGAGACACGGUCCAGACUCCUACGGGAGGCAGCAGUCGGGAAUUUUGGGCAAUGGGCGCAAGCCUGACCCAGCAACGCCGCGUGAGGGAUGAAGGCCUUCGGGUCGUAAACCUCUGUCGGGAGGGACGAAAGGCGCGCGGGUAAAAAAUCCGCGUACUUGACG
rnacentral:rRNA from 1 species